AGCAAAAACUUUAGAAAAUUUGAAAAUGUCGUCUCUUUCAAGAGGAGUUUUUCUAGCCCGUUCUGCAGCUCGUCUACGGGCUACAGGCCGUCCAUUGAUACGUGGCGAGGUAGAGAAUGCACCAGGGCAGGUAAAUAUGGUUUUUAAACAUUUUUACUGCCAAAAGUACAGGAAUAAUUAAAUCACGUUUGUUAUGAGUUAUGAUAGUAAAAUAGUAUAAAAUGAUACGGUGAAAAGGUUUAAGUUGUAUGGUAAUUGCAUCGAUUGAAGCUGAUAGUAUUGCUUGAUCUAUGUAGAAUCAGUGUGAAAUAUGUUUGCUUUUGCCACAGUCAGGCUCAUAAAAAUAAAAUUGUACUGACCAAAUAUCAAUAAGUACCCAAUACCGUCGGUUGCGUCGAAGAUGGACAGUCACUGUUAAUUAAUAAAGACGGC
rnacentral:lncRNA from 1 species